rnacentral:rRNA from 1 species
UACAGAGGGGGCAAGCGUUGUUCGGAAUUACUGGGCGUAAAGCGUGCGCAGGCGGUUCGUUAAGUUCGUUGUGAAAGCCCCGGGCUCAACCUGGGAACUGCAAUGGAAACUGGCGGGCUUGAGUGUGGCAGAGGGGGGUGGAAUUCCGCGUGUAGCAGUGAAAUGCGUAGAGAUCAGGAAGAACACCGGUGGCGAAGGCGGCUAUCUGGACGGUUUCUGACGCUAAGACGCGAAAGCGUGGGGAGCAAACAGG